UACGUAGGUGGCAAGCGUUGUCCGGAUUUAUUGGGUUUAAAGGGUGCGUAGGCGGCCCUGUAAGUCAGUGGUGAAAUACUCCAGCUUAACUGGAGGGGUGCCAUUGAUACUGCAGGGCUUGAGUGGAGUCGAAGUAGGCGGAAUUGACGGUGUAGCGGUGAAAUGCUUAGAUAUGACAUAGAACACCAAUUGCGAAGGCAGCUGGCUACACAAAUAUUGACACUGAGGCACGAAAGCGUGGGGAUCAAACAGG
rnacentral:rRNA from 1 species